GGAGAAACGGAAUACCGGAUAUCCAAUUUUGGAUAUCCGGUUAGUUGUGCGCAUGCUCACGCUCAAACCGCAACACUGAAUUCGUGCGGGCGUCAUUAGUUGCAAUCAUAAAUAAAAUCGUAGAAUUCAGUCGAAAAUUUGAUACUUUUACAUUGAAAUCAAUUGAAAAAGAUUCAUUUUCUUGUAGUUACAGAGUAAAUAUAUAUGCGGUGUAUAUAAACUAAUCAUUUUUAUGGAUUUUAUACGGUCAAGAAAUGGUAUCGAGAGACUUCGCAAGAAGGCCACUGACAGAGGUUUUGUAGAGGAUCUAGAUUAUUACAAACUAUUAGAUAUUUUUUAUAAUAUUAAAAUAUGUAGAAUGCUUUAUGGGCAACUGUGGACCUGUUAGCCUAUUUUGUUUAUUACAAUUACAUAGUGAUACUUUAAUUGGUGCAUUGUAUUGAUAUUUAAAAUAAGCAUGAAAAUACUUCCCUCUGUUAUUACUCUAGCUAUAUCAUUCCUUUGUCCUGUGAUAAGUUUGAUUUAACAUUGUGCCAGUACCGUAGCCAGAACGAUAAUUGGGGGGGGGCACAUAUUCAUAUAUUCGUGUUCUGCUUUAUUAAUUUCUUUUGAAAUCAAUUGUUUUUAUGGUAUGUGAACACGAAUAUAUGAAUAUGUGCCCCCCCCCCCAAUUAUCGUUCUGGCUACGGCACUGCAUUAUGCAUUUAUGCAUUGCAUUACAUUCAUACAAACAGUUCCAUGGUUAUAUGUAUUUAAUUUAUUUAUUAAUUGAGUCAUAAAAAAUUAUGUUGACAAUUAAUUAUUGAUGCUUGAAAAUAACUUAAUUAAAUGGAAUUAUGACACAGUGUUUGAACUUUGAAAUGUUUUUGCUGAUAUAAUAUUAUCAUUUAUCAUAACUAUUGGGUUUAACCAUAGAUGUAUGAGACCUAUCUAUGGGUUUAACAAUUAACACAGACUGAUGUCAUCAGGUUGGGUGCCUGUCUGAAAGGUGGCAGGCAAGGCAGGGUGUUGCUAAAUUGCCUAUCCAAAUACUGGGGGCACUGAUUGGGAAAUCUGCCAUUAUUGAGGUUAUGGGGUAAGCUACAUUAUCAUAUCCCUGGAAGGCAAAUCAUAACUUACACAUGCUGAUGUAUGCCUGCAACAGGUAUAUGGCCAAGUCAAGGUAACUAGCUACUAUUCCCAUUAAAUAUGUACUGUACGUUAACUAUAUAAUGUUGCAGGUGGAAUGUAAGAUGCAUGUGGGAUGACCUGCUGCCACUAUGGCAUUGUCAUAGCCAGUGGUCUAGUAGGGGAGGGGCUCAGGGGGACUUAGCCCACCCCCCUCCACCAGUUUAGGACACUUUUGGAGAAAAGGGACAAAACUACCUGGG